GACGAACGCUGGCGGCGUGCCUAAUACAUGCAAGUCGAGCGGACUUGACAGAGCUUGCUCUGUUCAAGUUAGCGGCGGACGGGUGAGUAACACGUGGGCAACCUGCCCUGCAGCUUGGGAUAACUCCGGGAAACCGGGGCUAAUACCGAAUAACAUUAAAAACCUCAUGGUUUUCUUUUAAAAGGCGGCUUCGGCUGUCACUGCAGGAUGGGCCCGCGGAGCAUUAGCUAGUUGGUGAGGUAACGGCUCACCAAGGCGACGAUGCGUAGCCGACCUGAGAGGGUGAUCGGCCACACUGGGACUGAGACACGGCCCAGACUCCUACGGGAGGCAGCAGUAGGGAAUCUUCCGCAAUGGACGAAAGUCUGACGGAGCAACGCCGCGUGAGUGAAGAAGGUUUUCGGAUCGUAAAACUCUGUUGUUAGGGAAGAACAAGUACCGGAGUAACUGCCGGUACCUUGACGGUACCUGACCAGAAAGCCACGGCUAACUACGUGCCAGCCGCCGCCGUAACAC
rnacentral:rRNA from 1 species